CUUCUUUGCUGGCGACCGGCGCACGGGUGAGUAACACGUAUCCAACCUGCCCUUUACUCGGGGAUAGCCCUUCGAAAGAAAGAUUAAUACCCGAUAGCAUAAUGAUUCCGCAUGGUUUCAUUAUUAAAGGAUUCCGGUAAAGGAUGGGGAUGCGUUCCAUUAGGUUGUUGGUGAGGUAACGGCCCACCAAGCCUUCGAUGGAUAGGGGUUCUGAGAGGAAGGUCCCCCACAUUGGAACUGAGACACGGUCCAA
rnacentral:rRNA from 1 species